UGCUAGCCGCCGCGGUAAUACGGAGGGUGUGAGCGUUAAUAGGAAUUACUGGGCGUAAAGCGCGCGUAGGUGGUCUGAUAAGUCGGAUGUGAAAGCCCCGGGCUUAACCUGGGAACUGCAUUCGAUACUGUCAGACUAGAGUAUGGUAGAGGGAAGUGGAAUUCCGGGUGUAGCGGUGAAAUGCGUAGAUAUCCGGAGGAACACCAGUGGCGAAGGCGGCUUCCUGGACCAAUACUGACACUGAGGUGCGAAAGCGUGGGGAGCAAACAGGAUUAGAUA
rnacentral:rRNA from 1 species